rnacentral:rRNA from 1 species
CGAACGCUGGCGGCGUGCCUAAUACAUGCAAGUAGAACGCUGAAGGAGGAGCUUGCUCUUCUGGAUGAGUUGCGAACGGGUGAGUAACGCGUAGGUAACCUGCCUGGUAGCGGGGGAUAACUAUUGGAAACGAUAGCUAAUACCGCAUAAGAGUAGAUGUUGCAUGACAUUUACUUAAAAGGUGCAAUUGCAUCACUACCAGAUGGACCUGCGUUGUAUUAGCUAGUUGGUGGGGUAACGGCUUACCAAGGCGACGAUACAUAGCCGACCUGAGAGGGUGAUCGGCCACACUGGGACUGAGACACGGCCCAGACUCCUACGGGAGGCAGCAGUAGGGAAUCUUCGGCAAUGGACGGAAGUCUGACCGAGCAACGCCGCGUGAGUGAAGAAGGUUUUCGGAUCGUAAAGCUCUGUUGUAAGAGAAGAACGAGUGUGAGAGUGGAAAGUUCACACUGUGACGGUAUCUUACCAGAAAGGGACGGCUAACUACGUG